GGGCGCAUAGCUCAGUUGGCAGAGCGCGGUCCUUACAAGACCGAUGUCACAGGUUCGAGCCCUGUUGUGCCCA
rnacentral:tRNA from 1 species